GAAUCCGAUUUCCUCCAGGGCAGCUCCUAAGACUUUCCACCGCUCACGACCGGACUGCUUGAGUCCGUAAAUUGUUUUAUGAGCUUAAGUGCGGUGGUUCCAGGGUUCUGAUGGGUGUACCCUUUGGGAACGCGCAUAAAAAUAUCGCGGUCGAGAUCACCAUUGAGGUAUGCUCCCUCGACGUCUGCCUGGUGUAGCUCGAGGUCGUAUGUCGCGGCGAGUGUCAUGAGAAGUCGAAAGGUGGUAGAUCGGCUGGCGGGGGCGAACGUGGCCUCAUAAUUGAGACCAGGUUGCUGGCAGAAACCUUGAGCCACAAGACGGGCUUUAUAUUUUGCGACGUUUCCAUCGGCAUCCAGCUUUCGCUUAAAGACCCAUUUGCAACCGACAAGAUUGCGCCCAUCUGGUACUUCUGAAACUUCGGACCAGGUACCUUUAAUUCCGUACCUCUGUCGGAUCGGAUUGUUUUGAUUUUAAUAUUCGACUGGUGUUGAAGACGGAUGACGAGGUCUUCGACAUGACGCAGGGUGUCAGACUUUCGGGCGAGAGGUACGAUGGCGCGAACCUUGGUAAAGUCUGCUAUCAUGAUGAGAGCGUACUCGUUGCCUUUGACGGAUGGCUGGAGUCUCCCAGUAAGGUCAACAUGGACCAUCUCACUAUCUGCGCUGCCACGAGGGGAUCCACCGUUUCGAGAUUGGGUAGCAAAGUCGUAGGCUAGAUUCCCUCCUUCCGCCAAGUCGAGGAGAUCGUCUCUGCCGAUAUGGCCAAGCCUACGGCGCUCAAUGUAGAGCGGUGACUCGGCUUGGUGAACUGCGUUCAGGCCAUCGGUUGGGAUGAUUAAGCCAGAAACAGGGGCGACAAUCAUAGCUUGAGGUCGUUUUGCAGAGAAGUUUGACCAUAGGAAGGCCGAGAUGAUUGUCAUCAGAGAUUGGGAACUGAACGGAGCCAUGGGAGAUAAGACUGUCUUCGAAAUGGAUGCGCCAGGCUUGCGCACGUAGCUUCACAACAGAAAGGACGUUGUGAUUGGCACCAGGCUUAGAGUGAGAAGUACCAACAAGUCCGAACUAGAUAUAAUCGGCCGGACGCAGGUCAAAGAGCGAGGAGCGAUCGCUGGUGAUAUGAUGGGUUGCACCGGAGUCGAUCAUGUAAGCCGUAGGCCUAGGGUGGGCGUGGUAGGCGUUGGCUAUAACAGCAUGGGAGCCGGCUCGAUAAAGAGACGGUCCGGCAGACCAGCUGGCAGUGUCGACGAAGGUAUCUCCAGGGGAACUCUAAAUUUCAUGGGUGGAGGCAAUGAGAUUACCCGACGCCAUGUGCUUCUGCUUGAACUCUUUAACUGCUUGCUGGCGUUGUGCCUCAGCAGGGAGCUCGCCUGCGGCCUUCUUGCGGCAAUUUUCCUCCGUGUGCUUCUUGAGACCACACCAAAUACACUUAAUUCCGCCUGCUCUGCUGUUCUCCUUCUAAUCUAAUUUUUCCUUUCGACGGGUUUUGCCCUGUUGCGUUGUUGCCUUCAGCCAUGCGUAACCUGGCACGUUCCCCAGUGGGGCGGUAUUCUUUGCCUUCUUUGCGGAGUGGCUCUGGAUCGCAGCCCUCGAUUGUGCGACCGAUACCUCGCUCGUCGAGGUAAGCGAGGAGAGCACGGCGCCAGCGGACGAAGCCCCUGGAUCCGUUAAGCUUUGGGAUUGUGACGAUAGAGCUAUAUAUGGAGCGGUGAUCGAUGUGUCGAGCCGAUUCUUACGCUGUGUAGGCAGACUCUUAAUCUGUUGGAAAUUGCUCAAUAUAGGAGCUAUAGAGAGUAUGCAGAAACAACUAUUAACCCGAGCUAGGGAAAGAAACCUUUGGCAAUUUCUAUGUUAAGUGAGGAGGGUUUUACACUAUCCAAACCAUCAGGCACAGGACGCGAGAUGCAAGAAUCAUCAAUGUUUGCGGUUGGUAAGGUUGAACGACUGCUGUUGUUUACAGGUUGUGGAAUAUAAUCAUGUCCUUCGAAGCGAAAAAGGGCCUGGCCUCUUCUGCGUAAAAAAGUGUGUUAUGUAUCUAAGUGGUGAUACGUACAUGCGAAUGACAAAACAGUGUCGAGGGGGAGCCGAA
rnacentral:sRNA from 1 species